rnacentral:rRNA from 1 species
AGUCGAGGGGUAACAGAAAAGCUUGCUUUUGCUGACGACCGGCGCACGGGUGCGUAACGCGUAUGCAACCUACCUCAUACUGGAGGAUAGCCCCUGGAAACGGGGAUUAAUACUCCAUAGUAUCACAAUUUCGCAUGUUAUUGUGAUUAAAGUUUUUCGGUAUGAGAUGGGCAUGCGUCCCAUUAGCUUGUUGGUGAGGUAACGGCUCACCAAGGCAACGAUGGGUAGGGGGCCUGAGAGGGUGGUCCCCCACACUGGUACUGAGACACGGACCAGACUCCUACGGGAGGCAGCAGUGAGGAAUAUUGGUCAAUGGAGGAAACUCUGAACCAGCCAUGCCGCGUGAAGGAUGACGGCCCUAUGGGUUGUAAACUUCUUUUAUAGAGGAAGAAACUUGUCUACGUGUAGACAACUGACGGUACUCUACGAAUAAGGAUCGGCUAACUCCGUGCCAGCAGCCGCGGUAAUACGGAGGAUCCAAGCGUUAUCCGGAUUCAUUGGGUUUAAAGGGUCCGUAGGCGGAUUUUUAAGUCAGUGGUGAAAGCCGACAGCUCAACUGUCGAACUGCCAUUGAUACUGGGAAUCUUGAGUACAAAUGAAGUAGGCGGAAUGAGGUCAUGUAGCGGUGAAAUGCAUAGAUAUGACUCAGAACACCGAUUGCGAAGGCAGCUUACUAACAUGUACCUGACGCUGAGGGACGAAAGCGUGGGGAGCGAACA